GUCGGACCAGUGAACGGCCCGCCGAUUGAACGAGAUCGCAAACUCCUGGCGCCGCCGCUGCAGCCCCGCCGAAGCGACCGGCCUUACGUAGUGCACAAGGCCGGGGCGGGCUCUGGGCCUGAGCCUCUAAGCCCGCCCAGGCCGCUGGUGGUGCGGCGCGGACGGGGGCGGAGCUGGGCCGCGCGUGACAGGGGUGGGCGGGCCCGGGCCGCCGCGGGCACCUGGGGCUCGGACCCGGUCUCUGCUCCCGCGUGGAGUCGGCCUCGGCGGGCCUCGGUGGGCCUAUCCUUGAGUUUACAUCCGAAGGAGCCCUGGCUGGGCUGAGGAAGGCCGCGAGACUCGUGACCUCGGCGGCGUUUGAGGCCGAGCUCGCUGGCCCAGCGCGGAGCCCGGGCGAGCCGGAAGCUAGGCUCAGCAAUCUGCCUGCCAUGUUGUAAGCAGCCCUUUGAGUGUCCCAGGUGAUGGCAAAGAAUGAAGACUUCUGCCAACAGCCAAUAAGGAGCUGAGGUGCUCUGACCGGAUGUGAGUGAGCUUGUGAGCGACAACUUCAGCAUUAGUUGAGUGUUUAGAUGACUGAAGACCUAGCCAAUAGCUUGACUGCAAACUCAUGAGAAACCGUGAACCAGAACCACCCAGCUAAGGCACCAGCUGAAUUAAGAGAAGCACACCUCCUCCCAAGAACAGUACUCCAGAUAUGACAUAACGCCUGGGUAGGGUUCGAAGUAGCAGCCAGGCUGUAAUGUAAGCUGGAACUUCAAUCAAGGCAGAGAAGAAACAGUUCAGGAGCUGACGAGGCAUGGCCAAGGACACUGAAUCCUCACUGACUGGCAGGAAGCGAAUCUGCUUCCACUGAAUAUCUGCUUUUCCUCGUGGCCUCCUGCCUGCAGGGGUGAAUCCUCCAGCCUGUGCUCUCAGGCCUUAAGGUUCUAGACACAAUAUAGCAAGACUAAAGACAUGUACAGCUUCCCCAGCAGAAUUUGGUAAGAUUCAGAGUACAGUGGGGAGCCCAUGGGUGGAAUACCCCUCAAACACAUUUUUCCCUCUUAAUCUGGACAUUCAAAAAUCACCAGUAUGUAGCUGCAUCAAUGGUGUGGAGCAAGACCAAUAAAAAGUUGGAGAUAAACUUGCAAAAGGGAAGGGAACUACCACUGGCAUUUUUCACAGAACUAGAACAAAAAAUCUCACAAUUUGUAUGGAAACACAAAAGACCCCGAAUAGCCAAAGCAAUUUUGAGAACGAAAAAUGGAGCUGGAGGAAUCAGGCUUCCUGACUUCAGACUAUACUACAAAGCUACAGUAAUCAACAGUAUGGUACUGGCACAAAAACAGAAAUAUAGAUCAAUGGAACAGGAUAGAAAGCCCAGAGAUAAACCCACGCACAUAUGGUCACCUUAUCUUUGACAAAGGAAGCAGAAAUGUACAGUGGAGAAAGGACAGCCUAUUCAAUAAGUGGUGCUGGGAAAACUGGACAGCUACAUGUAAAAGUAUGAGAUUAGAUCACUCCCUAACACCAUACACAAAAAUAAGCUCAAAAUGGAUUAAAGACCUAAAUGUAAGGCCAGAAACUAUCAAACUCUUAGAGGAAAACAUAGGCAGAACACUCUAUGACAUAAAUCACAGCAAGAUCCUUUUUGACCCACCUCCUAGAGAAAGGGAAAUAAAAACAAAAGUAAACAAAUGGGACCUAAUGAAACUUAAAAGCUUUUGCGCAGCAAAGGAAACCAUAAAGAAGACCAAAAGACAACCCUCAGAAUGGGAGAAAAUAUUUGCAAAUGAAGCAACUGACAAAGGAUUAAUCUCCAAAAUUUAUAAGCAGCUCAUGCAGCUUAAUAACAAAAGAACAAACAACCCAAUCCAAAAAUGGGCAGAAGACCUAAAUAGACAUUUCUCCAGAGAAGAUAUACAGAGUGCCAACAAACACAUGAAAGAAUGCUCAACAUCACUAAUCAUUAGAGAAAUGCAAAUCAAAACUACAAUGAGAUAUCAUCUCACACCAGUCAGAAUGGCCAUCAUCAAAAAAUCUAGAAACAAUAAAUGCUGGAGAGGGUGUGGAGAAAAGGGAACCCUCUAACACUGUUGGUGGGAAUGUAAAUUGAUACAGCCACUGUGGAGAACAGUAUGGAGGUUCCUUAAAAAGCUACAAAUAGAACUACCAUAUGACCCAGCAAUCCCACUACUGGGCAUAUACCCUGAGAAAACCAUAAUUCAAAAAGAGUCAUGUACCAAAAUGUUCAUUGCAGCUCUAUUUACAAUAGCCCAGA